UACGGGGGGAGCAAGCGUUGUUCGGAUUUACUGGGCGUAAAGAGCUCGUAGGCGGUGUGUCGCGUCGGCCGUGAAAACCUGCAGCUUAACUGUGGGCUUGCGGGCGAUACGGGCAGACUUGAGUACUGCAGGGGAGACUGGAAUUCCUGGUGUAGCGGUGGAAUGCGCAGAUAUCAGGAGGAACACCGGUGGCGAAGGCGGGUCUCUGGGCAGUAACUGACGCUGAGGAGCGAAAGCGUGGGGAGCGAACAGG
rnacentral:rRNA from 1 species